rnacentral:tRNA from 1 species
GGCAGUUGAGCUUAAUAGUAGAGUACUCAGCCGGUAUCCGAGGGGUGUGGGUUCAUGUCCCAUGGCUGUCU